AGGGUGAUCGCCACACUGGGACUGAGACCGGCCAGAUCUGCGGGGGCAGCAGUAGGGAAUCUUCCGCAAUGGACGAAAGUCUGACGGAGCAACGCCGCGUGAGUGAUGAAGGUUUUCGGAUCGUAAAACUCUGUUGUUAGGGAAGAACAAGUACCGUUCGAAUAGGGCGGACCUUGACGGUACCUAACCAGAAAGCCACGGCUAACUACGUGCCAGCAGCCGCGGUAAUACGUAGGUGGCAAGCGUUGUCCGGAAUUAUUGGGCGUAAAGCGCGCGCAGGCGGUUUCUUAAGUCUGAUGUGAAAGCCCCCGGCUCAACCGGGGAGGGUCAUUGGAAACUGGGGAACUUGAGUGCAGAAGAGGAGAGUGGAAUUCCACGUGUAGCGGUGAAAUGCGUAGAGAUGUGGAGGAACACCAGUGGCGAAGGCGACUCUCUGGUCUGUAACUGACGCUGAGGCGCGAAAGCGUGGGGAGCGAACAGGAUUAGAUACCCUGGUAGUCCACGCCGUAAACGAUGAGUGCUAAGUGUUAGAGGGUUUGCGCCCUUAGUGCUGCAGCAACGCAACAGUACCGCGCUGGGUCCCC
rnacentral:rRNA from 2 species